UUGCAAGGAUGGAAUGGCAAGUAAAUGGCUGCGAAGGGCAGGAAUCUGUGGGGCUGGCCAACCUAUCAUGGCGCUCCUAAAGAUGAAAUGUUGAUGAAAAAGACAAACAUUGAUGAAACAGAUGAACAUUGAUGAAAAAGAAAAUAAAGAAGACAUAAAUAAAUGGAAAGCCAUCCCAUGUUAA